rnacentral:rRNA from 1 species
GAUGAACGCUAGCGGCAGGCUUAACACAUGCAAGUCGAGGGGUAACAGAAAAAGCUUGCUUUCUUGCUGACGACCGGCGAACGGGUGCGUAACGCGUAUGCAACUUACCCUUAACAGAAAGAUAGCCCCGAGAAAUCGGGAUUAAUAUUUCAUAAUAUCAUUUUUUCGCAUGUUAAAAUGAUUAAAGCUCCGGCGGUUAAGGAUAGGCAUGCUUCUGAUUAGUUUGUUGGUGAGGUAACGGCUCACCAAGACUACGAUCAGUAGGGGGUCUGAGAGGAUGAUCCCCCACACUGGUACUGAGACACGGACCAGACUCCUACGGGAGGCAGCAGUGAGGAAUAUUGGUCAAUGGACGCAAGUCUGAACCAGCCAUGCCGCGUGCAGGAAGAAUGCCCUAUGGGUUGUAAACUGCUUUUUUAAUAGGAAGAAUCCCUUUUAGUGUAAGAGGUUGACGGUACUAUAUGAAUAAGCACCGGCUAACUCCGU